UACGAAGGGGGCUAGCGUUGUUCGGAUUUACUGGGCGUAAAGCGCACGUAGGCGGAUCGAUCAGUCAGGGGUGAAAUCCCAGGGCUCAACCCUGGAACUGCCUUUGAUACUGUCGAUCUGGAGUAUGGAAGAGGUGAGUGGAAUUCCGAGUGUAGAGGUGAAAUUCGUAGAUAUUCGGAGGAACACCAGUGGCGAAGGCGGCUCACUGGUCCGGAACUGACGCUGAGGUGCGAAAGCGUGGGGAGCAAACAGG
rnacentral:rRNA from 1 species